rnacentral:lncRNA from 1 species
GCUGGUGUGGUGCGAUUCGGCCUCGGGUUCAACUCCGGAUGGUCCUCUCGGCUACCCCCCGACUCUCCUUGUUUGCUUGAGAUUUGGAUGACGGAUUUCACGCCUACAAACCGGUUAAUGUAAAAUAGAUAAAGGGAUUGAAAGAAAGUAAGGUGAAAAGAUGAAAAAGGACGAAUUUUUACCUUACUUGCUUCAGUUUCCGUCGUCACACGACUUCUCAGCUCGAUUUUCCUUCCUUCUUCCUUUCGGCUUUGGCUUCCAUAACUCUCUCACCUCCGCCACUCUCUCUUCUUUUCUUCCCUUGCAGCGGCCGUUCUUGGAAUUUAUGUAUGUAUAUUAUUAAUUUUGUGUGUAUUUUAAAUAUAAAACAGAUACUGACCCAAUUUUUGAUGAAGAACAGAAUCUGAACCUAUGACAACUGAACCAUAAUAUGUUGGAAUGUAUGAGGAGAUGAAACCAAUAAAUAAACUCAAGAUUGAGGAAUACUUGAACUGUGAUAAGAAAUAAAACUUAAAUUAAAAAGAAUCACCAAUAAAGCGGAAGAUCGAGAAAAGAAAUAAAAUACGUAAGGAAAUAAAUAAAAAUAGAAAAGAAUAAUUAUGGUUGUGAAACGAUCAAUUUAAAUAAAAAUUAAGAGGAAAUUACAAUGAGAGGGAAGUAAUUUAGAAUUUGGAAAUGAGAUGAUGUGAGUGAAUAAGGUAUAGAUCCUGAAUACAUUCUUAUUUAGUCUGAAUCGAGGAGAGGAGUGUGUGUGUGUGUGUGGCUAAAGUUCAGCGGACAUGGAAAACCUACACAUGGAUAGAGUUUGAAACCUAGUUUAGACGUGAAUAGGUGUUUAUGAGUGUGGGUCACCUAACAAACGUAACUGAUGUGGUCAUUGUAAGAUUUUUUUUUUGUGUGCUAUCCAUGUAAUGAGGAGAUCCAUUUCACCUCUCCUCGAUGAUGACAUAAACAGUAUCGCGCUAUCAAAUCUUAAAAAUAACUUUUUGAGUGUAUAUAUGAUCUUUCGUAUAUAUAUGGUUAUAUUUUGAGGUUAUGAUUGACAUUCGAAUGUAUAUAUGUUCUUUCGAGAAUAUGUAGUUGUACUUCGAGGUUGUAAAUGAUAUUUGAGUGAAAUUAAGAAAUCCGAUCAAACACAUGUGAAAAUAGUGAAAUUAAUAAAUAAACUUUACAUUGAAAACAUUCCUACUGCAUUGUCUCAUGUUAUGUGUUUUGUAUGAAAUUUUAUCUGAGUUGAAAGAAUGGAAAUACUUAUUAAGUUGGUGAAACUCAUUAAAUUUCACCCUGAUAUUUUUCAGAUGAGAAAGAAGGGUCAGAACUGCUGCCGAACAAGUAGAAUUUGUGAAAGGGUUCUUGUUCAUUUAUAUUUUGUGUAUAUUCAAAAAAUUUUCAUUUUAUUUUGUUAAACUCUAAAUUUUGACCUCAUGUUCUGUAUAUAUAACUACUUUAUAUAUCACAUAAGAUAUUAGGUUCUAUGAUAAAUUUUGAAUUAUGUAUAUGUAUAUUUUGUAGGCCCAUUGUAUGAAAAUAGUGUGAGUAGGAAUUGUGACUCAUAUCGAGUUUGGGGUGUUACAAGUGGUAUCAGAGCCCACGUUCCUAAAACUAUCCCUUAUGCAAGAGGUUUUAGAGUUUAAAUGUGAUUUUUUAUAACUUUUGGGAUGUUAAUGAGUAUAAAACGUUAUAUUGGAAUGUUCUAAUCUAUUCUUUUCUAAAUGUAGGGUUGUAAAAUAAGACGUGGACAACCUCUAGCGAGGCAACAUUUCAAUUAUAUGUCCUUACGGGAACACAUUGAUCGGUUGUAUCAUAUGGUAGAGGAGCUUGUCAAUCAGCUUAGAGAAGGGAUACCUUGUCCUCUCCCAAUAUCGGUUCCACAUAAUCCAAAAUCACUCGUUAUGGAUUCAAAUUGUCAUUAGAAGUUUAUGAGACUUAAUCCUACUACCUUCGCUGAUACAAAAAAUUUUAUUGAAGUUGAAGGAUGGUUGAAGGCAGUUGAAAAGACAUUUCGAGUUUUGGGGGUGACUUCUGAGUAGAAAGUAAUUCUUGCGACAUACCUACUUGUAGGUGAAGCUAAUCGUUGGUGAGAAUUCAGACAGACCACUUUACCUGCUCCCAUCACCUGGGAACAGUUUUUGGGGGCGUUCAACGCCGAAUAUUUCCUACACGACUUCGACAUUAGAAGAAGUUGGAAUUUAUGCAGUUAACUCAAGGGAACUUGUCGGUAGUUGAGUAUGCUCGGAGAUUCACUGAAUUGACUCGUUUUGCUCCGGCAAUUCUGACUGAUGAAGAAUAAAGGGCAAGAAAGUUCCAGUGGAGGCUAUGUCCAGAAAUUCUAGAUUCUCUUGCAGUUUUAGAACUGAAUACUUAUGAUGAAGUCUUAGAAAAAACAGAGAUAGUGGAAAGCAGACUUAGGGGUUCAUCCUCAAGAGCAGACAGUUCUAGACUACCUAUACCUCCGAGAAGGCCGACUCCAGUGGUUGGUUCACAAGAUAAAAAGCCUACAAUGACAACAGAAAUUUCUCCUAGACCAACAUCAGCACCUGGUAAGGCACUGACUUGCCGUACUUGCAGGAAGAAUAAUGGUAAUUAGCCAUGUCAUUGUGUUACUCGAUCCUAUUUCAAGUGUGGUAGUCAACAACAUUUGAUUCGCAAUUGCUCACUUAUGAAGGAAUAGAUGGAAGCUUCAAGACGGGGACGAAUGUAUACCCUUACUGCAUCAGAUGCUGAAGCAAAUGCAGACAUCGUCCAAAAUAUGUAUCAUGUCUCUAAAAAACUUAGAUAGGGUGUUAAUAGAUCCUGGUUCUACACACUCAUUUGUGUCACAUACUUUUGUACCACGAUUGGGUGUCACACCUGUUUAUUUGAAAUAUAUCUUGAUGAUAUCUACACUAGGCGCGGAUUUAUUACUUUAUGAUGUUAUAUAUAAAAAUUAUACAAUAGAGAUGGUAGAGAACUAAAGAGAGACUCGGUACUUUUUGAUGUGAGAAAUUUAGAUGUAAUCAUAGAAAUAGAUUGGUUAGCAGCUCACUAUGCGACUUUAGACUGUCGUAACAAGAAGGUUGUAUUUAAUAUUUCUAAUGAAGAAACUUUUACUUCUUAAUAGAAUGGUAUUAUUUACAAUAUAUUAUCGUUAUAUAAAUUGCACAACUUAUUAAACCUAACAUGUGGAGAUUGACGUGGUAGGUAAUAAAAAUAAGGAGAUUGAUUUUUAUGAUGUGUUAGUGGUUCGAGAAUAUACAGAUGUAUUUCUUGAUGAACUUUCAAGGUUACCCUCGGACCGUGAAAUAGAAUUCUCUAUUGAUCUACAACUAGGCACUCAACUUAUCUCUGUUUCUCCUUAUAGACUAUUAAGAGCUGAAAUGGAAGAGUUAAAGAAACAAUUAAUAGAACUCCAAGAGAAAUGAUUUAUUCGCCCUAGUGUCUCUCUUUGGGGUGCUCCUGUGACAUUCAUUAAGAAGAAAGAUGGAACCAAACGAAUGUACAUUGAUUACAGAGAACUCAACCGGGUCACCAUCAAGAACAAAUAUUCUUUGCCCAGAAUUGAUGAUCUUUUUGAUCAAUUGCAAAGAGUCCAAGUGUUUUCCAAAAUUAAUUUACGAUUCAAUUACCAUUAGGUGAAGAUUAAACCUGAAGAUAUUCUAAAGACAGCUUUUAGAACCAGAUAUUGUCAUUACGAGUUCUUAGUCUUACUGUUUGAGUUGACAAAUGCCCCGACAGUAUUUAUGGAUAUGAUGAAUCGGAUAUUUGAGUCAUGUCUAGAUCAAUUCGUUAUUUUAUUUAUUGAUGAUAUAUUGAUUUAUUCAAAGAGUCGAGAAAAACAUGCAGAACACUUGAGACAAGUUAUGAAAACUCUUAGGAAAGAAAAGUUAUAUACAAAACGGAGUAAAUGUGCAUUAUGUUUUGAAUAGAUUGCCUUUUUAGGCCACGUAGUUUCCAAAGAUAGUUUCCAUCUUAAAGGUGAUCAUGUGUUCUUAAAGGUGUCACCAAUGAAGGGUCUUCUAAAAUUUGAAAAAAAAGGCAAAUUGAGCCAUCGCUUCAUUAGACCGUUCGGAAGACUAGAGAGAAUUGUAACUACCGCUUACCGAUUUAUAUUGCCACCAAAGUUGGCUAACGUCCAUGAUGUGUUUCAUAUAUCUUUGUUACGCAAAUAUCAUCUUGAUCCAUUAUAUGUAAUUCAACAUUAAGAUAUUCCUAUUCAAAAAAAUAUGUCAUAUCAAGAGAUACCGCUAGAAUUAUUGGAUAAACAAGAGCGAGUAUUGAGAAAUAAGACUAUUUCGAUGGUUAAAGUACUCUGAUAACAUCAUUUACCAGCAGAAGCUAUUUGGGAGAUUGAGGACUCAAUACGAGCUCGAUUUUCUCAUUUGCUUUAGAAACAUAUCAAAUUUGGAGGACCAAAUUUUUGUAAAGAUAUGAGAAUUAUAACAUCCAACCCCAAAUAAAUAAAAAGUAUAAGUAAAUAAAUAAAUAAAUAAAUUGAGAUUGGGGUUUAAAUGAAAUGGAUUUUAAAAUUUUGGGGUUUUUAUUUACUUUCAAGAAUGUAAAUGAAAACAUGUAAGAAAAAAGGGGGAUAAAACCAUAAAUAAAUGGAAGUGAAAGGGGGAAAAAGAAAUCAGAAAAAACGGGCGGUUUUGAUCGAACUGUCUGAGCAAUCCAAUGACUGAGGUUUUAUUGAAGAUGAACGGCUCAAAUUAAGCCUUGUAAGAUCCAACGGCUAGGGAGACUGCUAUAAAAAGGAAAAGAUUAGGAUUUCUUCUUCAUUUAAAAGAGAAGCCGAAAAAGAGAGAGAGGAGGAGAGAGGUGAGUUGAUCGGAUGAGAGAGAGAAGAAGAGAGCUGUCGAGCGGGGGAGCCGAGAGAGAGCAAAAUGGAGUGAGAGCCGAGUGGAAGAGAGAAAGAGAGGAAAGGAAGAGGGAGGCCGGAGAAGAGGAAGGGAGAGAAGGAGAAGCGUAGCCGAGCGAGAGAGUGAAGGGAAGAGCUGAGAAUGGCCGUCGCAAGGGAAGAAAAGAAGAGAGAGUGGCAGAGGCAAGAGAGUUGUGGAAGCCAAAGCCGAAAGGAAGAAGAAGGAAGGGAAAUCGGGCUGAGAAGCCGUGUGACGGCGGAAACCAAAGCAAGUAAGGUAAAAAUUCAUCUUUUUUAUCUUUUCACCUUACUUUCCUUCAAUCCCUUUUUCUAUUUUACAUUAAUUGGUUUGUAGGCAUUAAAUCUGUCAUCCAAAUCUCAAGUAAGCAAAGAGAGUCGUGGGAUAGCCGAGAGGACCAUCCGGAGUCGAACCCGAAGCCGAAUCGCACCACACCGGAGCAGGUAAACUUCCUUUUGUGAUUGUUUGGUUGUUAAGGCGACAGAGACGGGCUGUUGGCGAUGGGCUGGCUGUGCGUGCUUGGCCGAGUCAUCCACCCACUUGGAAAGUGAGGGGUCUUUCUCGAGUACGGGGACACGAUCCACCCACUCGACAAGCCGAAGGGUCUUCCUCGGGUAUGGGGACCCAAUCCACCCAUUCAAGAAGCUGAAUGGUCUUCCUUGGAUAUGGGGACCCGAUUCACGACUAGAGAAGCCGAAGAGCCUUCCUCAGGUACAGAAGUCGAUAUUUUUGAGCUUGGGAACUAGGACCAUAGGGGAGCAUAUUGCUCACCCUUACGCGGUGAGCCGCACAUCCCGUCGGAUUGUCAUUGAAACCCGUAAUUUUGAUUGAAUUUAAUUUCUGUUUAGUAUUUAAAUUAUAUUAAUUAACCUAUGUCGUAUGUGUACAGUGAAUAAUAACGUUCAAGCGGAUCUGGGAGUAGAGUUGCGCAAAAGAGUUGAUCAAUUUUUGAUGAAGAACAGAACCUGAACCUAUGACAAGUGAAACCUAAUCUGUUAGAAUUUAUGAGAGAUGGAACCAGAAAACAAACUUAG